rnacentral:rRNA from 1 species
ACUCAAAUGAAUUGACGGGGACUUGCACAAGCAGUGGAUUAUGUGGUUUAAUUCGAUGAUAAACGAAAAACCUUACCAAGGUUGGAAAUUUAACUGAAGACAAGCAGAAACGUUUGUCGUCUCACAAGGACAGUUAGACAGGUGAUGCAUGGCCGUCGUCAGUUCGUAGUUUGAACCGUUCCCUUAAGUGGGGUAACGAACGCAACCCUCGUUGUCUGUUAUACGUAUCAGGCGAGACUGCCCUCGAUUUUGUUCGCAAGCGAAAGCUUGUAGAUAAAAUCGAGGGAGGAAGGCGAGGAUGACGCCAGGUCAGCAUGUCCCUUUGAUACCUUGGGCUACACACAUAAUACAAUGGCGGUUACAACGGGUCGCGACGAGGAAACUCUGAGCCAAUCCUAAUAAAGACCGCCCCAGUUCAGAUUGGGGGCUGAAACUCGACCCCAUGAAGUUGGAAUUGCUAGUAAUCGCGGGUCAGCUAUACCGCGGUGAAUACGUUCUCAAGUCUUGUACACACCGCCCGU